UACGGAGGAUGCGAGCGUUAUCCGGAUUUAUUGGGUUUAAAGGGUGCGCAGGCGGAUUUUUAAGUCAGCGGUCAAAUCGUGGGGCUCAACCCCAUCCAGCCGUUGAAACUGGGGAUCUAGAGUGUCGGAGAGGCAGGCGGAAUUCCUAGUGUAGCGGUGAAAUGCGUAGAUAUUAGGAGGAACACCAGUGGCGAAGGCGGCUUACUGGACUGUAACUGACGUUGAGGCUCGAAAGCGUGGGGAGCAAACAGG
rnacentral:rRNA from 1 species